rnacentral:tRNA from 1 species
UGGCUGAGUGGUAAAGCGCUUGGCCUCCAAACCAUGAGCCUCGGGUUCGAAUCCUGG